AAAACACAAAGGAACAAGGAGACAAAAUGGACCGACAGUGUCCAUUGGCAAAAAAAAAACCCACUUCAUUCAACAAGUGAUUUUACUGCAGGGCCCCUGUGAAUAAGAAGUUCCCAAACCCUGGAAGAAACAAUUAUCUUUGAAUUCCAUCUUGUUUAAAAUCUGAUAAGGCCUUUGCCUCUGGGAACAAAUGGCCAGUCUCUCAUACCCCACGUUCACCUCCAAUGUCAAGAGAUGUUAGCCAGCAAACAGAAGGGCCAGGGGACGCUGAGCCAAACACCUCAGCCUUUCCCUCUGCAAUGACACCCUUCCGCCAAGCACACUCCAAAACAUCUUGGAGAGUAGCCAGUGGAAUAAAUGGAAGCAAAACAGAAAAGGACCACAAAAUUAAUUGAUAUAUACAUAGAAACUAUCCCUGUGCAUUCCAUGUGAGGCCUGUAGGAACACGAACAAAAGAGGAAGAAAGAAAGUCAAAAAGGAGUCAUGCUCAAAUCACUUGACCUCAGCAUUCUGGUGACAGAGGUGUCCGUUGAGGUGCCACACAGGAUAGAGAGCAGAGGAAGGUCGACUCCAGAAGUAUUUGUGAGCACUUGCUUACCCUGGCGUCCGUAUCAGCCAAGUCGUCAUUCAAGCCAAAAUCCUCAGAUCGGUCACCCUGAAAAAAAUCC